UACGUAGGCAGCAAGCGUUGUUCGGAAUUACUGGGCGUAAAGAGUGUGUAGGCGGUGCUCUAAGUCUGGUGUGAAAUCUCCCGGCUUAACUUGGAGGGUGCAUUAGAAACUGGAAUGCUAGAGGAUGGGAGAGGUAAGCGGAAUUCCUGGUGUAGCGGUGAAAUGCGCAGAUAUCAGGAGGAACACCGGUGGCGAAGGCGGGUCUCUGGGCCGAUACUGACGCUGAGGAGCGAAAGCGUGGGGAGCGAACAGG
rnacentral:rRNA from 1 species